CCUACGGGUGGCAGCAGUGGGGAAUAUUGGGCAAUGGGCGCAAGCCUGACCCAGCAACGCCGCGUGAAGGAAGAAGGCUUUCGGGUUGUAAACUUCUUUUGUCAGGGACGAAGCAAGUGACGGUACCUGACGAAUAAGCCACGGCUAACUACGUGCCAGCAGCCGCGGUAAUACGUAGGUGGCAAGCGUUAUCCGGAUUUACUGGGUGUAAAGGGCGUGUAGGCGGGACUGCAAGUCAGAUGUGAAAACCACGGGCUCAACCUGUGGCCUGCAUUUGAAACUGUAGUUCUUGAGUGCCGGAGAGGUCAUCGGAAUGCCUUGUGUAGCGGUGAAAUGCGUAGAUAUAAGGAAGAACACCAGUGGCGAAGGCGGAUGACUGGACGGCAACUGACGGUGAGGCGCGAAAGCGUGGGGAGCAAACAGGAUUAGAUACCCUUGUAGUC
rnacentral:rRNA from 1 species